GACAAUUUGGCCGAGUGGUUAAGGCGAUUGACUCGAAUCUAUUCAAGGUCGUUAUCAAUUGGGAUUUCCCGCGCAGGUUCAAAUCCUGCAGUUGUCG
rfam:Puccinia graminis f. sp. tritici CRL 75-36-700-3 supercont2.118 genomic scaffold, whole genome shotgun sequence.